rnacentral:tRNA from 2 species
GGGCCAUUAGCUCAGCUGGCUAGAGCGCUGCUUUGACAUAGCAGAGGUCGCAGGUUCAAGUCCUACAUGGCCCACCA